UCUAAGAUGGCACACUUCAUCC
rnacentral:siRNA from 1 species